UCCGGGUCUCCACGAGCUCUUCCGGGGUGCGCACCACGCGGACGGAGUCGGCGUCUGUGGGUAGCUACAAAUGCGUAAGGGAAGGUUAGCGCCGAAAAAGAGCUGUAACAACUUUAGCCGACAGUAACGUCCGGGUGGGGGACAGCAGGACCCUUCCAGUUAGUCACGAUCAAGCUCCAGUGCUCAAGCAAGUCAGCGUCUGCUCUCCGCCCGCCCAGAGAAGCGGAAUCCAGGAAGCGGGGGAUCAGGGCGCGAUCUCAGCAUCCCCGCCCCCACCCGUGGUAGCGAGUACUCGGGCACGGCCCGGGCGCCCCAUUAGCUAGCGUAAAUUCACUGGGCGCAGAAGACACGGCUUUUCUGCACUCUCGCCUCCGGGAAGGUGUCUGCUCCUGGUUGUCUGGAGUGAGGCUGGUCUGAGUGUGAAUUCGGUCGGGCGGGCUCAGCUCACCUCGAGCCUCGAGGGUCAGGAGAUGAACACUGUCGGCAGAAGUCAUAAUGAUGCCCUGUCCGUUCAAUGGGUCAGCUGAAGCGGGCUCCCUCGUGUUUGGUCGAUGUGUUGAAAGUGGGAGUAGAUCCUCCUGAGGUGAUCUCCUUUGUGAGCCUGAAAUUAACUGGACACACCUGGCGCCUUUACUUACAGUUGCUCUCAAACAAUUGCUCCUUUUCCUUCAGAGCAUCCGUCUGUCAACCAGGAUCAGUUGUCUCAGGGCCUACUGUGUGCUCAGAUCUUGACCAGCCCCUUCUGGGGAUACCAGGCCACAGAAGGCCAGGUUCCUGCCCGUGAACCUGGCUCAGGACUUGGGAGUUAGCGCGUUAGUGGAAGAAAGAGAGGGGGCCCAUUAAGAUUACUUAUUUUGUUGCACUUUUUUUCUGGAAUGACUCAAAGUCACCCGGAGAAGAAUAUAAUAUUGCACGCCUGGCCUUAGGCUCGGCUUCCUUUUUCUGACCCUUUCUCAACCCGGCUGUCCCUCCUCAGGAGAUUUGGAAUUCCCCCUGCGGAGGGUGGGUGGGGAAAGAGCCAGCCCAGGUAAGUAUGGGAACCACAUGGUAUCGGGAAUGGACAAAAGGAAAUCAUCGCCAAAUGCAACCAGGCAGGUGGGGGUAGAUUGAAGCAGAAAGGGAAUAGGAAAUGUGAAUAACCCCCAAGGCAGCAGACUCCGGUGGUGAGGUGUGAGAAACAGUCAACAUUUGGAGCUCUGGAGUCAGAAGAUUUUUGGCAGCUGUUAGAUAACUUCCUGAUCUGCAGUAAAGUUCACGUGACCCAGAGGAUGUUUCCGCAAUUCCGUUGCCUGGCUACCUUCCUCCCUUUCCAAGUCUGCAAGCUUAAGAGAUUUUACUGGGUCCCAGUUGAAUGGUGGUGCUGGCCAAAUACCAGGAGCCCAGGAAGGAGUCCUGACCUCCUACAGGGGCAGCCCCAAUCUCACUCACCUGUUGCCUACCCAGCUCUCAACUGCAAGGUGACAUAGAAGCCCCCGUUUCCAGCCGCCAACCUGUCGGUUCCGGACACUCCACAAACGGUCCAAACUGAAUAUUUUUUUUUUCUAUUUAUGUAUAGUUCCAAGAGUCUUCCACUGCCCCGGCACCCUCCUGCCCCAUCAGCAGGAGGAACGCGAUUUUCCAUAAUUAGGGCGUGACCAGUAUGGAAAUAUAUGCAAGGUGUUUAACUCUCCUUAGUGAAAAAAUUUUAAAGGGAUCCUGGCCCGCAAUGCAGGAUUCCCUGGGAAGCAGCGCUCAGUUAGCGGGGCGCAGCACCCGCCAAUCCUGAACCCUUCUCUGCGUGGGUGAAGGCGGAGGAGGGGCUGAGGAGCCCAGGCCCACGCGGCUCCCUACGGCCCAAAUCCCUGGGUUCUUCCAGGGCCAGUGCAGUUGUCGCCUCUUGGUCCCUGCGGCCAGCUGGCCCUCGCAUCGUUCCCACUCCCAGGCCCCCUAGUCACGCACGUGGGUCCUGGGCCGCCCGGCAGGUGGAUAGGAGCUCUUGCUCCACGGGCAUCGCGAGUCCGGGUUUUUGCGCAGGUUCCGGCCAGCUUGGAGGGAUCAUCCUCCGGGGCGUUCUAAUGUGGGCUUUCCAGACGUGCAGCGAGAGGGUUAUAGAACAGGCUGGAGAGCAGUCGCAAGAAAGCAAGGAUCAGACCUCGCCCGCCGGUCGGAGAAUGUAAAUUACGGGGCAAGGCGCUUGUGAGACCCAAGGGAAGGACCUGGAGACCCCAGAGUCGCGGGUCGGGGGAGGGAGGCCGUUGCUUAGGAAGCCACACCUCGCGGUGGGAAGAGGGGAUGGCAGUUCCGUCACGUUUCCCGCGUUUCUAGGAAGAAAGUGCGGUGAUUUCCCCGAAGAUGAAUAAAUACGCAGCGAUGAGGAUCACCAGGGCUAGGAGCCCCGCACCACUGCACACUCAGCAGCUCACAGCCCGCCGCCGUCGUGUGCCUCUCCGCCGGCACGGAGUGAUACCGAAGCAGCAGCUGGGGACGUUGUCGCUGGUGCCAGCCCCACUCACAGCCACCGCGCAGAGCGCAGCUGCACUGGCGUGCUCGCUUGGAGCCAUUUAUUUUUGGUCUUGGCUUAAGAAAUCAUCCUGACCAUGAAUAACUGUAAUAAGAUCACUCUGGCCCCAGCUGUCCGGAACGAGUUUCCAGACUGCCAGAAUCCCUGACAGGCGAGGAGAUAUCACUUCCGGGUCGCGGCAUCCUGCUUGGAGGCGGGAAGAUCAAGUUCAACUCAAAUUGGCAACCUAGUCUCAGUCUCUGCUCAGCCUCUUGGACUUGGAGUUCCUAAAGUUGAGUGUGGCCCACCAGCCACAAGUAGGGGCAGAAACUAUACCAGAGGAUGAUAGAGGAGAAAUACACCAGCGCACUGCGGCUUUCUAACUUGGUUUGUACUUGUCUAUCAGCCUUGUUUGUCACCAGAGUCAGAUCAUCAAUCACUGUUUAUUAAACGCAAUGGUGGGAUAGAGGGGUUACUUACUAAUUGGCGUUUAGGAAAUCAUCAUAGUCACUCCCUCUCUCCCACUCCCCCCAUGACUGUAAAAUGAAUUAAUAUACCCUGCAGGGUUGAAAAAUAAGGACCACUCAUUUGGCUGCCUCUAAGCUUGGAACACUGCUCCAGGGGAAAUGAGGGUCCAGAGCUCUUAGAUUAACCAGAAGUUCAGGAACUGCCCCAGAACUUCCCCACCGUGCCCAAAGGGAAGAGAGGGCUCAACAGGGAUGAGUAUGGCUGCAGGGACUCUUUAAAACAAUUUGUCCUGUGUGCACCUGGAGUCGCUACUGUGUGCAGCAGACUGCCCUGAGGAGAAGGAUGUGGGUUCCUGCUCCAUGAUUCUUCCUGCCCAGGCUCAGCAUCAGGAGAGUAAAGAAAGAGGGAAAGGAGAAAGUAACUAGAGGAUGGAGAGGAUCUGGGAUCUGGGCUGGGACUGUCUUUGUCGGAGAAGAGGAAACAAAAAGAAAUGCUUCCCUAAGCAACUCCCAAUCCACAGUUGCCUCCUGCCACAGGCCUGCACACCCUCCUCCCUUGCCUUCUGGCUUUGCCUUUUCUCUCUCGCUCUCUCAUCCUACCUUCCACACAACGCCUCAAAUCCAAACUCUAGGCAUUUUCUCAAGCAGUCACCAGACCGCCUCUCUGUAGAUGGAAGGGGAGUCCAGGACACCACGAGGCAAUGAGUGCUGGGAGGUGGAGGGACGCAAGUAACAAUGUUUGGGAGCUGGAGCUCCUGGGGUUUCACUGCCAAAAGUUGACACGUGGGUUUCCAGAGCCCCACGGUCAAGUCCUCCCCCCAGCUUAGGGGUGGGUGGUCCCUUUUGCUCACUGGACAGACUCUAACCUCUGGCCCUGACAAGUGGAGAAAGGGCAGAGGUGGCCCUUGGAAGUUAGGAACCGUGUUAAUCCCUUCCCAGGCCUCCCCAGGCUGAAGGGGAGAGCUCUGGAUUCAGUUGAGAUAUUAGUGGUAAAGCAGAAACAAGUCCAGUGAAUUUGAGUUUAAAUCUUCUCAAUGCCGGUGUGGUGGGGCAAGAAAAGUGACACUGAGGGACAUGUGUGGUGGACUCUGGGCUCCCCUGGCUGAGUAAGGGAGUCUGGUAACUUUGGCUCUCAUGGGUAUUUUG